AUAACGCCAUGCCAGGGCCCUCCCACGGCAGCCCAGCAGCCCUCCUCUCCACUGUAGACAGAUGUGGGGGGAAAGGGUGAGGGGGUGGGAGGACUGGCGUCCUGGGAGGACUGCCCCGCCCUGCAGGCUUUGCUGUCUCCAGGCCCAGAUGUCAGCUGCCCACUUCCCCCCUAGCCAAGGCUGCUCCUGAUCCGCUCAUGCAGUGGCAGCCUACCUCAUAGGCUUUGGGUAGUGGGGGUGUCCUCCCCCUCUGGUAGGCCUGUCUGGUGGCCCCUCACUCCACAGCCUCCUUGACAUUCCCAGGCCUUGUCCUAGGCCACCACUACCUGCCCCAGAGUGAGUCUGCCACCCCUCCCCUACAGACCCACCUGCCCACUGCCAAUCCUCAAACUCCAUCUUCCCUGGUGGAACAUGGCCCUCCAGGCCUGCAGCUGCGGGUCCCCAUAUCUUCCUGGGCCUCCACCACUAUUUCUGUCUGUAUGUACCCUCACUGUGUCACCGCCCCUAUGGAAUGCCCACUGUCUCCUUGGUAGAGCCUCGUGGGCAGGGAGGCAGAGGCUCACUCCCCCCAGCAGUUCUGCUUGCACCCCUCUUGUGGCACUUACAAGCCAUGGCUCUGGUUAGAGUGUUUUUUGUGUACUUCUCGCACCGUUCCCUUCUGCAUACCUUCAUGUAGUGUGUUAACGACCAGACAUGUUCCCUCCUCUGCUUCCCAGGCUCUUGCAAGCUGGGGCCUGUGCUGCCCCCUCCAUAUCCUUCCCAUCACUGUACCCCACACGUUGCACAUAGUAGGUGCUCACUAAAGAUUCUCAAGAGGAUGAGCAACAAUGUCUUGGUGUCCACUGCUAGGGGACGCAGCAGAGAUGCACUUAGGAACAUGCUUCAAGAUGGUGGAGUGAAUAGACUUCCAGAAGGAUUACAAACAGACAAGGAGCAACAAAUGCAAGAGUAGGCACGGCCAAGCCACCACAUGGAGGAAGCCAAGAACCCAUCCUUCCCGCCUCCCAGCAACUCCCAGGCAAACUCGCCCUGCUCAUGUCUUUUGUUUUUCUUAAUUAAAGUAGCAAGAGCCAGGAUUCCGUCUCUGAGGGUGCAGCCUUGUGUCUGGAUGUCUUUAUUUCGGCUGUGCUCUUGGUGUGCCUGCCCGUGUGGCAGCUGGACACUGGGCCUCCUGGAGCACAGUGGGGAGGGAGCACAUUGCACCUCUGCCCACUGCCCUGUCACCCCCACUUCCUACAAACCCUUGUCCUUCCUGGAGGUUAUAAGCCCUGCUCCUUCCUCUCUGCGGACACAAAGCAGCUAUUCUGCACUGUGCCCCGGCUUUCUGGACCCCCUGCGAUGCCUGCACACCCAGCCCCUCACCCUGCAUUUAAAGAGCCCGGGUGCAUUCAUGCACUGGGCGUCUUAGGAGACCCCUCAUUCGUUCAGAAGUGUUGGGCCCUGUCCAGGCUGGACAAAGCCAUGGUCCCUGCCCCCCUGCAGUUUCUACUCUAAACCGCAGCUGGGCGGGGGCAGGACCAUCUGGGUAGCCCUGGGAGGGCCACCUGCCCUCUCUAGGCUUCAGUUUCCUCACAUUGAAGCGAUUGGUUGGGAUUGCAAACUGUGCACUGAGGAGCCCUGGGGAGUCCACGCAGGCAGGGUGGAGGCUGGGCAGGAUGAGCUUUGAGCCACUCCUGGCUACUUCUCCCUGGCUACUUCUCCCUGGCUACAGCUCCCAAGCCAUGCUGCCCAGAAACCAGGCCCAGGGUGGCCAAACACUGCCUGGUCAGUGACCAUCUCCUGUUUGCAGUGCACUCUGUAUUUGUGAAUAAUGUUGGCUGUUCAAGAACCCUGUGAGGCAGUUAUCAUUCAUUGGUUUUUUUUCUUUAACCAGAGAAGAAGUCCAAUCUCAGCUGGGUUCAAGCUGAACUGCGGCUUAAACCCAAGUCUCUGUUUCCGAGCCCUGCACCCCCCUGGAAUACUGUGUCCAGCCCCCAGGGCACCCUUGGAUGUGCUUUGUUCUGGCACAAGGUUGGUUCUGCUCUUUCAUGCAGGGGCUCCUCCUGCUGUCUGUUCUGAUGGUGGGCUAUCUCCUCCCUCCUGUCCCUCCCGCCCAGGACCAGGCCAGGCUGGCAGUGCUGUUGGCAGUGGCACUGGGGCUGUAAAGGGGCCCUGGGCCCAUCUAGAGUGUGAAGGGCAGGUGUUCGAGGAGGACAAGUGUGCGGAUGGAGCUGCCACCUCCCUUGCUGGGAGGGAGAGAGGUAGAAGAGCUUUUAUGGCCUGUGAGGCCCGUCUCCCAGUCCCUCUCAAUAACAAUCCAGGCCAGAUCACUUCCUCCUCUAAAGUUCUGGAGUUUGGAGGUCAGAAGGGGGAGAGGCUAGAAACGUGGACGAAAGAGGGACUGAACUAGAUGACAGUGACAGUCCCGUACUGGGAGGGUGGGCUGGUGCAUGGUGGAGUGGGAGGAGAACUGUUCUCUUUGGACAGUGGCCUGUGGCUCCAUGCACAUGCUGCUCCAGGCCUGGCUCUGCCAUGUGAGGGGUUUUGAGGACUGGACCUGCUGUUGAUCUUGAGAAAGAACCUGGCCCAGGACAGGUGGGAGGAGGACCCCACUGGCUCCCCCGAGGGGUCCCUGCUGAGACACAAGGCUGCAGCUAGCUCUCUCAUCCUUCCUCUCUCCCUGGCCCUCAGUGGUCUCCUAGGCACCCUUAGGUGAGAGCACCAGGACAAUGCACCGGCCACUGACACUGCCUGGGGCCUCUGGCCUCGGUCUCUCCCCAAGGUGUGGGGACUCAUGAGAGUGGUGGGGCUUAGCAGGCAGAGCGCUGUGCUUGCAGUCACCCGAGAUCCCACCAUGGGCCCAGCCACCUUGGACAAGUCCCUUCUCCAGCUAAGUCCUAUGCUCCUCACCUGUAAAACGGGGAUGGCCACAGCCCCGCUGGUGGCGGAGAGGAUUCAGAGACCCUGGUGUGCACGUAGAUUUCAAAUUGCCCACAUUUCACAGGUGGCUGCUUUGUCCUGGUUAUUACUUUCCUACCUGUGGGGAAGGCCUGCCUAUUUCUUUCUGCUCUAGGAGGCCCCCUUUCAGGUCUGCACUUCUGGAGCUUCUAUUACAUCAGCACCGUGCCAAGUGACAGGACGCUUGAGCUGAAUAACGCACAGGAGAUGUUCACAGUUGUUUUUCCUUCACAAACACCUGUUGAUCACUGCUGUGGUCUGAAUUACCCCCCAAACCCAUGUUGAAAUUUAAUUGCCAUUGUGACAGUAUGAAGGGGUGGGACAUGUAAGAGGUGAUUUGGUCAUGAGGGCUUUGCCAUCGUGAAUGGAUUGAUGUUGUAUCCUGGGAAUGUUACUGUGACAGUGGGGCCGUGGUAAAAAGAUGAGUUCGGCCCUCCUUUCCCCUCUGUCUCAUGCAUUUCCUUGCCCUUCUAUUUCUCUGCCACCGGAUGACGCAGCAAGAAGGCCCUCAACAGACGCCGCCAGCGCCAUGCGCUUGGACUUCUCAGCCCCCACACUGUAAGCACAAUAAACCUCUAUUGUUCAUAAAUUACCCAGUCUUGGAUAUUCUGUUAUAGCAGCAAAAAUGGACUCGGAUAAUCACCAACAUGAUGCCAGGUAUCUGUUGGCUGGACAAGCUGGACAACAUUGGUCUAGAAGGCCCCAAAUAACAGAAACACAGGAUGCCCAAGACAGACCCACGAGUCAUCAUCUACCAGCCCAGGAUUGGUUUGUAACAGAGCUGCACAACUGUGGGACCCAGCUGUGUUUGGGACUUCGCGGCAGGCAGGCAGAGAUGGUGAGUCCAUGAGCAGGUGAGAAUAUGGGGUUCUGACUCAUGAAGACACGUGCCCAUCUAACUUAGCUGUGGAACCAUGGCAAACCAGUUCAGUUCUUUUGGCUUCUGUUUCCCCAACCACAUUAUUUCCAGGGUUCCCUCUGGCUCAAACGUUUCUGGAUGCUUCUUGGCAUCUCACCAGUGCAGGUGGUAGAAGAGACCCCAAGGGAAAGCAAACACUAGAUCACAUGGUGACAGGGUCAGUUUCAUGAGUUACCUGGGGCGAUAGCACCUACAGUAUUCAAACACCAAUCUUGGUGUUGCCGAGAUGGGAUUUUGUGGAUGUGGGUAACAUCUCCAAUUAGUCGCCUCUAAGUAAAGGAGAAGAUGGGGGUGGGCCUCAUCCAAUCAGUUGAAAGGCCUUAAAAGCAAAACCGAUGUUUCCUUGAAGAAGAAAUUCUGUCUAAAGAACUGCAGCAUCAACUGCUGCCUGAGUUUCUAGCUUGCUGGCCUUCCCUGUGGAUCUCAGAUGUGCCAGUUCCCCUACAAUCACGGGAGCCAAUUCCUUGAAAUAAACCUUUAUGUGUGUGUGUGUGUGUGUGUAUAUAUAUAUAUAUAUAUAUAUCUUCUAUUUCUGGAGAACCUGGGCUGAUACACCUGGGCUCAAGAAUAUUUCCAAAGAAAUGCAUUUGUCGCUUGCACGAUCUUGCAGCAAAUACUACUUAGGAACAAAUCAGGCAGUCGACUUCCACAAAUGGAGAAGGAUCGUUUGUAGUUAGGUGUAUCCGUUGGUCUUCAAACCACAUACGGAAGCCCUCAAAAUACAUCCUCCUCUUCUUCACUGAACCAACCGCCUGGCCCCAGUUCUUCCAAUCAGACUGCAGAGUUCUCAGCCCGUCCCACGCUCCGGAUUCUAGAGAUGAGCAGGAUUCCACGAUCCCAGACCUGGAGUGGACGAGGUUCGUUGGAAUCUACAGUUUUUGAAAAAUUUGACUGGUGUCUAUUUUACUGUUAUGAGCAGAUGAUGUUCUUUGUUUAUGAGAGAAAUUAGGCCAAAUCCAACUUUUCCACAGAUGGAGACGCCUGAAUUAUUUAUCAGAGGCUCAUGAAUUUGGUUCUGGCAAAUGGCAGGGCCGAGGGCGGCUGAUUUGUGCUUCGCUAUUGGAACAGCUUGAUCCCAGCGGGUCCUGGGCCUUUCUGACGUGGAGCUGGGCCUGGCAGGGGCCCCAGAGGCUGGCUCUGGGUACAGGGUAGGUGGUGGGGACCCUUCCUUGGCUGCUUCUGCUGGGCUCCCUUGGUUCCCAGAGAGCGGUGAGGCGGGGCCCUGAGCAGGGCCUUGACUGGCAGCUGGGAUGCCCUUCACCAGGGUCCUGCUGGACUUCGGAGGGCUGUAGGUGGGUCUUCCUCACUCAGAAAAAGUGAUGGAAAUGGAGAUGUUCACUGCAACUUCCCAUCAGCUAUUCUUUCCUUUAAAGUGAAAUCCAAGGCCAGUUGGUAAAACCUUCCAUGCAGCCGGCUGUGUCUGGCAGCUCAGCAAAUACCUACUGUGUGAUGGGCCCAUGCUGGGUCCCUGAUGAGCACAGAAGAGACAGUGGGCUCUGCAUUUGGAGGGAAGGACCCAGAAAAGUGCCUUUCAGAGAGUGAUCCAGGCCGUCUCAUAUGCUGACACUAACUUAUGUUCACUGAGUACCGGUCCAGGGCCGUCUGCGCAUUAAUUCCUUUGGUCCUCAGAAACACCCUAUGGACCAGUUCUACAGAAGAUGCAACCAAGAGAUAGGAACAUUCAGGAGCUUGUCUAAGACUUGCCAGCCAGGGAGCCACAGAGCAUAGCUUAGCUGGUGUUCCCACCCUGACGUGACAUGGAUCUGAGAGUCCCCUGGCACCAGCCAUGAGCCAGAAAUCCUUCAGCCUUUAAGGUGCUUGCAGUUGGAUGGGGAGAUAGAAAAGGAAGCAAUCAGCAUUCUUCCCACCAGCCACACUCACGCGGGGCUGGCCUGUCGCCUCCCUGGGGGCUGCAGUGGUGUCACUCAGCCUGAUCAAGAAAUGGGAAUAUUGCACUUCAAUCCCUGAGUGGGACUGACCUGGGGCCUGCAGUGAUCCAUUUGGAGGAGGUCUGGACCAGACCCCAGGCCUUCCUGCCUGUUUAGGUGUGUCAUUUUCUGGCCAUAGCCCAUUGUCUCCUUGGGGCUGUCUGACCUUAAAACCCAACUUUGAGUAUGCCACCAGUUUGUUGAUGGCCUGGGACAAAUCACCACACCUCUCUGGGCCUCAAACUUCCCUAUCUGAUCCCUGGGCAUUUGCAGUGCUUGUCUCUGGGGUUCCUUCCUUUUUUAAUUCUGGGGCCACCUGGAGUGGACCUGCCCCUCCUUGUGCUGAGGCUGUGGAACAAAUGAUCCAGUGGGAAUGAGCAAGGAGGCUGCCGAGGUGAGUCUGUAAGUGUUUGGUUUGAACCAUUUUAAUUUGCAUUCAAGUUUAAUUAUCAUCCGUCUUCAAGGUUGCCCACGUGGGAGAAGAGCAGUUGGGCCCCAAGGAUGCUCCCUCCUGCUUCCAAUGCUCCUUCCACUGCACCUGCCUGGAAUGCACGCCUGGCUGCCACCUCCACGGAUCCACCCCAUCCGGGGUUCCAGGGUCAGGGGCCCCUUCUCUGCCCCCUUCAGUCCUGAGUUCCCCAGAAACUCCACCCUUCUCUCCCGGUGUUCUGAGUGGGAGCCCCUUCUCAGUCCUUCCAGCUUGCAGGUGUCAGACGGGGAGUGAGUGUGGGGUGGGGUAGGGUGCGGGUAGAGGCUCUUUGUCAUUCUUUAUUCCGGCAAAGAGCAAGGGUCAGCACAUGCAAAAGGUGAGGAAGAAAGACAAUAAGUAGGCAGAAGUGUAAAUAAAAGUUCAAGCCAAAAGGAACUUCUGAGAUUCACAAUGGUCUUCCUCCCCUCCGUAACCACAGAGCUCCCCGUCAUCCCCUCACCAGUUUCUCUGCCCUUGGGACAGGCCAGAACUGCUCCUUCUCUUCUUGGCAGCCCUGUGCACUUCUACCGCCUACCAAGUUCAAGGUCUCUUUCAGGCCUAGCUCAAGUGCCCCCUCUCCCAAGGGGCCUUCCUGGCUCCUUCUCCCCCAGCCUCUCUCUGCCCUCCCCACCCUCCACCCAUGGUCCGCACCCUAGGGCCCCUGCGGCUCUGUGUGGUUGGCAUCUUUUCCCCCACUGGGAGGCUGGCCCGUUCCCGGGAGGAGGGCUGGGAGGAGCAAGAGGUGCUCAGGGAGGAAAGUGAAAGAUGCCUGGGCUGAGACAGCCAGAGUGAGUGGAGAGACAGGGAGAGGAGGGGAGAGAGGCAGGAAGAAAAGGAAGGAGAGGGGGAGGGGGAGGAUGAGCAGCCCGCAGCGCUUAUUGGACUAAACACAGUCCCGGGACAGCACAUAAUUCGGGCCUGAGUCAGCAGGUUUCACCAUAAUUUCUUAAGCAUCUGUCAGGCCACUGCCUCCCCGCCCCCCGCCCCGAGAGGAGCAGCCGCUUCAAAGGGAGCCAGAGCGAAAGCCUCAUUUAGCAAAUGAGGGAAAUGUUUAAAAAUAUCGCAAGGAGUCACCCUCCGUGAAGGCAAGGCCACCCCUCCC